UUUUUUUUUUUUGCCAUCUAUAUGUCUUCUUUGGAUAAAUGUCUGUUUAGAUCUUCUGACCAUUUUUGAUUGGGUUUUUUAUUUUUAUAUAAAGCUAUACGAGAUGUAUAUUUUGGAGAUAAAUCCCUUGUCAGUUGCUUCAUUUGAGAAGAUUUUCUCUCAUUCUCUGGGUUGUCUUUGCGCUUUUUUAAUGCUUUCCUUUGCUGUGCAAAGGUUUUUAAGUUUAAUUAGGUCCCAUUUGUUUAUUUUUGUUUUUACUUUCAUUACUCUGGGUGGUGGAUCCAAAAAGAUAUUGCUGCAAUUUAUGUCAAAGAGUGUUCUGCCUGUGUUUUCCUCCAAGAGUUUUAUAGUAUUGUGCCUUCAAUUUAGGUCUUUAAUCCACUUGGAGUUUAUUUUUGUGCAUGGUGUAAGAGAAUGUUCUCAUUUCAGUGGUUCUUAACUGGGGGUCACUUUGCCCCCUACAGGACAUUUGGCAAUGUCUGAAAACAUUUGGGGUUGUCACACCCGGGUGGCGUGUCAUUACUGUCACUGAGUGGGUCAAGGCCAGGGAUGCUGGUCAGUCUCCUACAAUGCACAGAACAGCUUCAGAUGUGCUGAGGCUGAGAAAUCCCAGGGUCGGUUAAAUAAUAGAUGCUUCAAGAGAAACAUUCCUCCUCACACACAGAGUGUACCCGUGAGCCGGAACUAAAUUCACCUAUCCAGAAUUCCUGGUCCCCAGGCUCUGAAAUCCUAGCCCAUCUGUGAACAGAACAAUCCCUAAGCUCGAAGGACCAUGGGGAGGGAGAAAACUCUUUACCCAAUAAUCCCCAGUGGUUAUUUUGCAAAAGUGUAUGCUUAUGAACCAAUUACAGCCGAGAUUUACAGAGCAGAAUUACAUUUUCAUCUAAGUAGGACCAAGACCGUUCCCUCCCAAGCCACCAGCGAACUCUGUAGGGCUUUCAUGUGACCCAAGACAAAGGCAGCUAAUAGAGCCUGGGUGAUAAUGGGUGCCUGGGAUUUAUGCUUUAAUUGUCUCCAUGGCUCCCUGUCUCGCGGAGGUAUUUAUCUUGGUACAAGGACACCAAUGGCAUGCCAUGACAUUACACGCAGGAUGCUGGGGGGGCGGGGGGGUGUUCAUUAUUAUUUCAUCUGUAAUUAUAGGCAAUAUCAGUGUAUUAUUUAGAAAUCCCUGAAAACAUUUUAAUUGAAAUAGUCAGUGGCCUUUAACUGACCCAGGCUUACAGUAUAGCCUGGCCACCACUGUGAGCCCAGCUAUUGGAUUAAGGAGAGUCCUUGCUAUAAACCAAAUCAUAAGUAUUACUUAAAUUUUUGGAGUGGAAAUUUGGUUUUUUUUUUAAAGAUUUAUGGCACAGUUGAAAUGAGGUCAAGCCAAGGCACUAAUUUAAUUAGAAAUGUCUUCACAGGCUCCCCAUCGCCGUUAAGCUCACAUAGGUUGUCCCCGGAGGGCUUGGAGUCAUUGGAGAUGGAGUGUACUUUUGUUAAACUCCUAAUAGGAAGGAGCUAUGAUCUUCUGCUGUUUCUUCAGGGAAGAACACUGGGGAUCUAGACAGCAGGGGCAGAAAGGGGGAGAGCAGCUGGGGUAAGGAAAGGGACAUGGGCCUGCCUCUUGGUUGGCUGGCUUCAGCAAGAAUACCUACUCUUUUAUUCAGAACUUUCCCCGAGUACUUUUUGCGUCUCGAUGCAGCAUCAGGGGCUGGGAACCCAGUGGUGAGAUGCUGUCAGAUCUCCAGGAUCAAUGCAACGAAAAGAGGGACCAACAAAUGAAAACAAAACUACACACUUGCUUAAAACCAGAGACGUACAUGCAGGUUUCAGUGGAACCCCAAGGCAGGAAUGCAGGAUUUAACCCAGAGAGUUCACUGGAAGAUGUUUCCCAGGAUGUGGGCCUCGAAGGAUGUAUAGGAGUUCUCUUUGGUGGACCUAGAGAAGGGAGAAGGGGGGAAAAGAGACUCUAGGGAGAGGGCACAGCCUGUGCCAAAGCCCAAACAUUAGUGAGGACGGUUCACUGGAACUCAGGGAUGUUCAAUCAUUCCUUAGUACCAAGCAGGCCAAUUGAGCGCAUGAGCUAUGGCGGGGGAGAGGCCAGGAAGCAGUUCACUUUGGGAGUCAGGUACUUGAAUUGAAAGAUCUCUUCCUGCUCUUCAAAACUCCCUCUAGGGCCUCCCCAGCCAGAGUCCAGCUAGCAUGGACUAUGGAGGGAUCAGAGUUCCAGCCCAUGGCUGGGUAUUCUUCCCGUGGUGUUCCAGGAUGAUGGUCGUGCUGGUACUGAGCAUGGAAUCACGAGAGAGGGACAGGAAGCAUGCCUGGAUUCUGGGAGGCUUGGCUGGUAUCAGGGGACCAGAGAGAGGGCUUCCUGCCCUUCCUUCUGCUGCUGAAUUCCGUGGUCAGCGAAUAGUUCACACAAUAACAACUGUCAUGACUCUGAUUGCUGCUACCACCAGCUAUUGUGCACCUAAGGUCCUAGGCAUUUUUCUUUCUUAUUUUUACUACUUAUAACAAUGCUGCGUGGCCUGGUAUUUUUAGAGAUCAGCCUUCCUUCCAGCUUGCAGUGAAGAAUUGCCAGCCAGCAUUAACUAAAUUAAUUCCUCCUCCUCCUUCCCCUAGAGCCCAUAGAGUUGCCCACGUGAGAAGCAGCUUGAUGCAAAUCCAGGCUACACCUAGAGCAGCUGCCCCAGUGGUUUUCAGUGUGAAGUCCCUGAGGGGAAAAAAAUCUUUUCUGUCUAUACUGUGUGUGGCCUCUCUUUUGGGCUUACGUUCCCCUAGGCCAGAGAGCCCACUUGCUUUGAGGAUUCCCCCAGGGCAGCCCAAAGUAAAUUCUGCCUAUGUCACAUGUAUCAGUUAGCUUUUGCUGCAUAACAAGCCACCCCCAAAAUGUAGCGGCUUAAAGCUGCAAUCUUUAUAAUCAGUCAUAAAUCUGUCUGUAGGCUGAGGGUCAGCUGAUUCAGGCUGAGUUUGGCUCCAGGCUGUGGACUAGGUUCAUAUCUACUUUCUAGGACUCUCAUUUUCUUUCUUUCUUUUUUUUUUUUUUUUUUUUGGACUUGCAAUCCCCUGGAAAUAUUCAAAGGUGCAAGUGUCAAAAGUCAGAUCAAGCAACAUAAAAGCAUUUCAGCCCCCUGCUUGCCUCUCUGAUCAUACCCACUGCCAAGCCAGUUCCAUGGCCAAGCUCAUGGUGAGAAUCUAGUAGCUGGAUUGCUUCUUCCCCACCUCGGUCAGGACUGGCUGAGGCGCUGAGUGGGGUCUACAGCUGGGGUGUUGUAUCCGCCAGCCCUUUGCUGCCCAGUCCAAGUCAGGGCCUGGCACUACCUGCCUUAUCCUGGGACCCACGUAUUUACUACUUCCGUUGGUAUUUUCAGGCCUGAGGAACACAGAUUGUGGUUUUUCUUUGAGAGGGGCCUGGAGCAGACUUUUGCAAAAGAAGUUGCUUUUAGAGAUGAAUCUCUUACAGCAUUUGAAAAAUAAAUGUGCACUAGAAGUAAUUAACGCA
ensembl:lncRNA